AGGGAAUCUUCCGCAAUGGACGAAAGUCUGACGGAGCAACGCCGCGUGAGUGAAGAAGGCCUUCGGGUCGUAAAACUCUGUUGCCGGGGAAGAACAAGUGCCGUUCGAACAGGGCGGCGCCUUGACGGUACCCGGCCAGAAAGCCACGGCUAACUACGUGCCAGCAGCCGCGGUAAUACGUAGGUGGCAAGCGUUGUCCGGAAUUAUUGGGCGUAAAGCGCGCGCAGGCGGCUUCGUAAGUCUGAUGUGAAAUCUUGCGGCUCAACCGGGAGCGGUCAUUGGAAACUGGGAGGCUUGAGUGCAGAAGAGGAGAGUGGAAUUCCACGUGUAGCGGUGAAAUGCGUAGAGAUGUGGAGGAACACCAGUGGCGAAGGCGACUCUCUGGGCUGUAACUGACGCUGAGGCGCGAAAGCGUGGGGAGCAAAC
rnacentral:rRNA from 1 species